rnacentral:lncRNA from 1 species
GUUUUCUGUUAUAUGUUAGGUAUCUUGUGGAUGUAAGAGUAUAACAGGUUCAAAUCACGAAAAGACUCCAAGAAUGCCCAAGAGAACUCCUGAGAAGCAAUCCAGUUUCACUGGAGAAAUAUAUUGACUGACCUGCUGGACUGGAGCUAAAGCUGACACAACUUGUCCUGGGGGUGGGGUAAAGGUGGAUUUGCCUUUCACAUGUAAACGAGUUAUAGGAGAAAUAGAAAGAAAUGCAGCCAUGCUUAUUGUCUAUUAGCAGGAUCAUCUAUUAAAAACCACGUUUUGAAGAGAAAAUUAAGAUCUUAGAUGUGUAAGUUGUAAUAAGUCUCUACUAUGGCAGAGAGAGAAAGUGUCCUGAUUCCUAGCCCAAACAAAUGUCCAUAUGAACAGCCUUUCUGUCCAUAAAAAAUUGAGUCUUAUUGAGCACUAUGUACUAGGCAGCACCUUAAAUAUUUUCUGCUAGAUAGAUGUAUAUAAUUUUUUACAGCUUUUCAUUCUAACUAUAUAAAAAAUACCAUUUAAUAAAAAGUUUUCUCCAAAAAUGUAUUAAUAUGCAAUGGAAAGUUAUUUAAUAAAGCUGUGGUAAAUGGAAAGGACAUGUUCUAGUGGUCCUCUGAGGUGAUAAUGGUAGGCAUAUGAGAAUUGCUUCUAUUAAAUUUUGUAUAUUGUACUCAUUAAUAAAUACUACUAUGAUUUUUAAAAAUCAGGUGAAAAUAACAAGGUAUCCAAUGACUCGUUGUUAUAGUUAUCAUUUCCUUCA